AUUGAACGCUGGCGGCAUGCCUUACACAUGCAAGUCGAACGGCAGCGGGGGAGAAGCUUGCUUUUCCUGCCGGCGAGUGGCGAACGGGUGAGUAAUACAUCGGAACGUGCCCUGUAGUGGGGGAUAACUAGUCGAAAGAUUAGCUAAUACCGCAUACGACCUACGGGUGAAAGCGGGGGAUCGCAAGACCUCGCGCUAUCGGAGCGGCCGAUGUCAGAUUAGCUAGUUGGUGGGGUAAAGGCCUACCAAGGCGACGAUCUGUAGCUGGUCUGAGAGGACGACCAGCCACACUGGGACUGAGACACGGCCCAGACUCCUACGGGAGGCAGCAGUGGGGAAUUUUGGACAAUGGGCGCAACCCUGAUCCAGCCAUUCCGCGUGAGUGAAGAAGGCCUUCGGGUUGUAAAGCUCUUUCGGCAGGAACGAAACGGCGGGCUCUAACAUAGCCCGUCAAUGACGGUACCUGAAGAAGAAGCACCGGCUAACUACGUGCCAGCAGCCGCGGUAACAC
rnacentral:rRNA from 1 species